rnacentral:rRNA from 1 species
CCUACGGGAGGCUGCAGUAGGGAAUCUUCCACAAUGGACGAAAGUCUGAUGGAGCAACGCCGCGUGAGCGAAGAAGGUUUUCGGAUCGUAAAGCUCUGUUGCGAGGGAAGAACAAGUACGGGAGUAACUGCCCGUACCUUGACGGUACCUCGUCAGAAAGCCACGGCUAACUACGUGCCAGCAGCCGCGGUAAUACGUAGGUGGCAAGCGUUGUCCGGAAUUAUUGGGCGUAAAGCGCGCGCAGGCGGUCCUUUAAGUCUGAUGUGAAAGCCCACGGCUCAACCGUGGAGGGUCAUUGGAAACUGGAGGACUUGAGUACAGAAGAGGAAAGCGGAAUUCCACGUGUAGCGGUGAAAUGCGUAGAGAUGUGGAGGAACACCAGUGGCGAAGGCGGCUUUCUGGUCUGUAACUGACGCUGAGGCGCGAAAGCGUGGGGAGCA